AUGAUGUGCUUGAAGGUGAGCGGCGCAAAGGCGUAUCCCUCACCCUUAUAGAACUUGGACUGGAACUCCACCCUGAGGCAAAACACACCAGCAUUAAUACACUACAGCACACUUCAGCAGGUCAUAUGGAGGGAAAAAAGGCACACCAUGUGUACCAACUCUAUUUAUUACAUUCCCAUCACUAGCAUACGUCUCUCUUAAUUUCAUAAGCCACUAGACCAAAAGUUCAAGUCAUGUCAAGAGGAGAGAGGCAGGAAAAGUGAGUGGCAUAAGCACCUCUGACAGCUGCCCGUGCGCCAAGGACAGCGCCCACAGUCGGAGGUAGGAGGCUGUAUGGGAGACGCAGCCCAGCACAAACUCGAUGGUGUGAAUGGCUUGCUCAAUGAACACCUCACUGAACUCAAACUCC